GGACAGCGACCUCUGCACCUUCUGUGGCUUCCCCAUGUGCCGCCCCUGCUACGAGUACAAUCGCAAGGAUGACACCCAGGCGUGCCCGCAGUGCAAGACCAACAAGCGCCACCAAGGUAUGCCAGCCGCCGCCAUUUCCAUCUAUUUCCAUGUACUUCAUGUUAAUUAAAGUGCAUCAUGCUAGGCUUCAACAACAACUGAAGUCAGCCAGGUGGUUGUGUUUUAGUCGCUUGGAGCAUGUAGUAAUUUAGUGUUUGGCAAAUUUAUUCAGAUUCUCACCAUAAUCUUGCUCUCUUAGUGAAUUGUACUCCAAUUGUAGUGUUGAGUUACAUUGCCCGCAAGAGCCGCAAGAGUGAAAUUUGUUGGCUUCAACGAUUCACAAAGGACAAUAAUCAAAGAUGUUAUUCGCAUUGCUAGGCUGGAAUUAGGGUCUUAUUAAAGAGUGGUAUUUGAAAGGACAAUAAUCAAAGAGUGGUAUUUGAAAGUGAUGUCUCUAUAAAUGAAGUAAGGCAGGGAAAUGCUUAUGUUACUGUUGUCAGUUAUUAGCUUUUUAAAACAUGCAUCUGUCAAUGUGUCCUGUUUCAAUAGGGUCUUAUUUAUAGGACGUGAUGCCAUUGAAUUAGGAUGUUUGUUCUUCUGCUACCUUUGUUAAAAACAUCAGAUCAUUCGUAUUGUAUCCUUCCUCGGAUUGCUUCUUUUGUUCUACUACAAAUAUUCUCAACAUGGCAGGGAGAGGUAUGCUCCUAAAUUUCUUAUUUUGUGCAUUGUGAAAUGAUUGUUCUAACAACAUCAGUUUUGUGUUCUUCAUAUAAUCUAUCUCAGAUUGCUCUGUGUUUUGCAGGUCUCGAGGUCAAGCCUGGACCCACUGUCAAGUGUGUGCUUGGACAUGACUUUAUCCUGCACUUUCCAGUGCUGCACUUAGGGAAUCAAAGAAAAGUGAAAGUGCCAUGUCAAAGUUGAUGACCAGAAGCUUGCUAUUGGAACCCUCUCUAUUGAAAAAUACCCCUAGAUAGAAAUUGAUUUG